rnacentral:rRNA from 1 species
AGGAUGAACGCUGGCGGCGUGCCUAAUACAUGCAAGUCGAGCGGUAAGGCCUCUUCGGAGGUACACGAGCGGCGGACGGCUGAGUAACACGUAGGAACGUACCCCAAAGUGAGGGAUAAGCACCAGAAAUGGUGUCUAAUACCGCAUGUGCUCUAAGGAGUAAAGCUUCGGCGCUUUGGGAACGGCCUGCGCAUGAUUAGCUUGUUGGUGAGGUAAAAGCUCACCAAGGCGACGAUCAUUAGCUGGUCUGAGAGGAUGAUCAGCCAGACUGGGACUGAGAACGGCCCAGACUCCUACGGGAGGCAGCAGUAGGGAAUUUUCCACAAUGGGCGAAA